rnacentral:rRNA from 1 species
AGUGAACGCUGGCGGUAGGCCUAACACAUGCAAGUCGAACGGCAGCACAGUAAGAGCUUGCUCUUACGGGUGGCGAGUGGCGGACGGGUGAGGAAUACAUCGGAAUCUACUUUUUCGUGGGGGUUAACGUAGGGAAGCUUACGCUAGUACCGCAUCUCCCCUACGGUUGAAGGCGGGGGAUCUUCGGACCUUGCGCGAUUGAAUGCGCGGCUGUGGGAUUAGCUAGUUGGCGGGGUAAAGGCCAACCAAGGGGCCGAUCCGUAGCUGGUCUGAGAGGAUGAACCGCCACACUGGAACUGAGAGACGGUCCAGACUCCGACGGGAGGCAGCAGUGGGGAAUAUUGGACAAUGGGCGCAAGCCUGAUCCAGCCAUACCGGGUGGGUGAAGAAGGCCUUCGGGUUGUAAAGCCCUUUGUUGGGAAAGAAAAGCAGCAGGUUAAUACCCCGCUGUUCUGACGGUACCCAAAGAAUAAGCACCGGCUAACUUCGUG